rnacentral:rRNA from 1 species
UGGGGAAUAUUGCACAAUGGGGGAAACCCUGAUGCAGCGACGCCGCGUGAGCGAAGAAGGUUUUCGAAUCGUAAAGCUCUGUCCUAUGAGAAGAUAAUGACGGUAUCAUAGGAGGAAGCCCCGGCUAAAUACGUGCCAGCAGCCGCGGUAAUACGUAUGGGGCGAGCGUUGUCCGGAAUUAUUGGGCGUAAAGGGGGCGCAGGCUGCUUCUUAAGUCUGAUGUGAAAGCCCACGGCUUAACCGUGGAAGUGCAUUGGAAACUGGGAAGCUUGAGUACAGAAGAGGAAAGUGGAACUCCAUGUGUAGCGGUGGAAUGCGUAGAUAUAUGGAAGAACACCAGUGGCGAAAGCGACUUUCUGGUCUGUCACUGACGCUGAGGCCCGAAAGCGUGGGUAGCAAACAGG